CGUUGGUUAUAUUCGUAUUCAAUGCUUUCAAUAUAACUAGUGGCAUUCUGUAACACCACGUGCUAGUUUUAUAUCUAGUUUCUAACUAGAUAUAACAUUUACAAUUAAACUUUCAUACAUCAAUUAAGUGGUCACUUGAUUUCUAAGUAGUCAUCGCUGAUCGCGGCCUUUAUUAUGGAACCACAAAAUGCUUGGAAGUGAUUCCAUAUGUCACUGUCUGCUGUAACUAAGAAAUCUGCAAAUUUGCUAACUUUUGUGAUGGCAUCGACCAUGCUCCUGCAUCUGUGAAAACCAUAUCGGUUUUUGUGAUGUGGAUCCUG
rnacentral:misc_RNA from 1 species